CGGCUAUUUUCCCUCCAUGAACCUCGCUCGAGCAAGACAUUGUUUUCCACCAAAUUCUCCUAUGUAUUCCUAUCCCCGUUUUCAAUUUCUAGGGUUUCUCUUCUUCAACUUCGAUCUCCAGACCCUCAAAUCCUUACAACGCUGCGGUUUCGAUCGAUCAAUCCUUCUUGUUGCUGCGUCAUCACGAGAAAAAAAUGACGAAGAAAGACAAAGAAGAGGAGAGAAUUGAGAAGAUAAUUCGCGGUCUUCUUAAACUCCCUGAAAAUCGUCGUUGCAUUAAUUGCAAUAGCUUGGGACCACAAUAUGUUUGCACAACCUUCUUCACAUUUGUUUGCACAAGCUGUAGUGGAAUUCAUCGGGAAUUUACGCAUAGAGUUAAAUCGGUUUCGAUGGCAAAAUUUAACGCGGAAGAAGUUAGUGCUCUCCAAGCAGAAGGGAAUGAGAGAGCGAGACAGAUUUAUUUGAAGGAUUGGGAUCCGCAGCGUAAUCAGCUUCCUGAUGGCAGUAAUCUACAAAAGCUUCGAGAUUUUAUCAAGCAUGUUUACGUGGAUAGAAGAUACACUGGAGAGAAAAGUGAAGAGAAACUCUCAAGGCUGAGAUUGACUGACAAGGAGGAGUCUAGUGAGAACAGGAGGGUUGUUUUAUAUUCUGGUGGAUCUAGAACUCUGAACUAUGAAGAUAGACAAGGGCGGAGUGAAAGAUGUGGUUUUAGUGGAAGAACUGAUGACAAGACUUUCAGAUAUUAUGAUGAUGAAAGAAGAAGUCCUCGUUAUUCCCAAGAAAAUACAAGAUAUGGAGGUUUUAAGAAAAGUCCUGCUCGCUUUGAGGUUGUUGAUGACAGGUUUCGAGAUGACAAAAUACGAAGUGUCAGGCAGACUAAUGUCCACCUGUUUUCACCGACAGAGUCCAGGUUUGGGAACAGGUCAUCUGACAUUCAAAAGAAUAAUGCCCCUGUGGUACGCCCUCUUAAAGAUAUUCUGGGGGAGAAUCUUCCGCCUCUACAGGUUGUUGAGCAUUCUAAAGCACCCAACGGGAAGGAUGCAUCUGUUCACAGUCAGACGCCCGCUUCUUCCUGCCCUAUGGCAUCUGCUGAUGGGAAUCCUGUGCAACAGAAAAGUCAUAAUUCAGAAAGCUCAGUUGAUUUAAAUGCUGAUUCCAAGUCCUCCAAUGCCACGGCAGCACCAGUGGCACUGGAGAAUCUUCCAUCCAGUGAAGAAGGCAACUGCUCAUAUGAAUCCUCUGGAAAGGAGAACAUACCUCCGGUCCCAAAACCAAAUAUGUUGGAAUUUUUACUGAUGGAGUUGUCAGUUCCCUCAGUUAUUCCUUUUGAUAAUACAUCUGAAAUACCAACUAAUGAUAACCCUUCAUCAGCUACAUCUGAAGAAAAUAUACUCAUGAGUAGUGGUUCUUCAGUAGCUGGGCCCUCAGGGCAGAUGUUUGCAUUACCAAGCAGUGGUGUUGAUUCUGCAACUGAUGCUUCUACAACUGCAUCUGGAGACAACAUGCCUGCUGGCAGUGUUUCACUACCUGUGGAGCAGAUGUUAACACUGCCCAGUAGCGCUGGUGCUUCUACAGCCGUGUCUAGAGGCACCAUGACUGUGGGAAGUGUUUCACUAGCUGCACCUGUGGUGCAGACAGCAACUGCAUCGGGGAUCAGCCUGCCUGAAGGUGACCCUGUACCAGUCGUGCCCUUGGAGGAGACAUUGACACUAAUCGAUGCUUUUGAUGCAUACAUAGCCCCUUUAAAUACUUCUUUGCCAGUGCAACCUUCUAAUGCAGUUCCUCCACAAGCUGCGCUUGAUAACAAUGGUGACUCAACUUUCAAGGUUUUUGAUGGGCAACAGAUAUCCACCAUGCAACAACAGUCUUCUGCACUGCUUGCCAAUAAAAGCUCUACUGAACACCAGACUACUAAUACACCAGCUGGAGGGGUAAAUGACCAGAUCUGGACUUCAUCAAAUGUUCCUAAUGCUCAGGGACCUCCAGAUUUCCUCGGGGAAUACCCUUCUCAAGAUGUCUCGACACCAGCCCAAGAAUCCAAUUCUGAUGCCAAAUCCAUGCCUCUUGCAUCAGAAACAAAAUCUGGUGGAAGAAAGGAACUUCCAGUGGACCUUUUUACUACAACCAUACCCACUCCAGGCCCAAUUCCAGGCUGGCAAAUUUCUCCACCUUAUGGCAUGGGAUUUAACAUGCAAUAUUAUCCUAAUGCAACGCCUGUGCCAGCAUAUCCCAACACAACAAAAUCAACGAACCCGUUCAAUCUUAAUGGAGAAUCCACUUCGGUACAAGCCCCACCUUUUCCUUCCAUGGGAAAUCUGCACAGUGGUCUCCCAAUGCAUACUUCCGCAUUGCCUCCACAGUCCCCACCCUUUGCAUCAGCCAUGCCUUAUGGUGGAUACAUGGGACAACAAGCAUACAUGAAUUUGCCUAAUUCCAGACCACAAGGACCAGGCGACCUUGGCAGUGAGGGAUUUCCUUUUGGGUCAUUGGAUAUGGCUCAACAAUCAACCAACGAAUACUUGCUCCCAACCUCCUCAAGUUCUCUUCCUUCAAGGGGAGGCAAUCCAUUUGGAUAGAUAAGAUUCACUUUUCGUUUGAUCUAGAGCAUUUCUCGAGCUAAGAUAGCUCUCUCUCUCUCUCAAAUACAAAUCCCAAGAAAGAAUUACAGUCUCAAAAUUUUCAGGACAAAAAUCUACCUUCCUUGCUGUCAAACAGGAACAAGCUGGCUGAAUGAGGUCUUGUCUUCUGUACCAAUGACCAAGAGGAUGAUCAUAAACGGCUUCAAAAGAGCAUAGAUCUGAUCAUUCUGGACAAAGUUAUAUUGCCCGAAUCACGUGAUCUAUAACACAUGGAGUUAGAAGUCUCUUUCAGCUUGUGCUUGUCCUCUGGAUCCUGUCGAAGACAAAUGUUGAGCAGCCACCAAUCACAUUUUAGGCUUUUAGCUAUAAUGGCAAGGAUCUAACAAAUGUGAACAAGAAUGUCUCAGCGAAUCAUUUGUCUAUGUUCUAACAAAUAUCUGAUGCAGAACAUCUUGUAUUAUUUGAAGUUAGAAAAUAGAAAUUACAUACAAGAGAGUAAACUGAUA